GACGAAAAAUGAAUACCAAGUCUCAAGAGUGAACACGUAAUUCAUUACGAAGUUUAAUUCAUUGAGCAUCAAACUUUUAAAUUGAAGAGUUUGAUCAUGGCUCAGAUUGAACGCUGGCGGCAGGCCUAACACAUGCAAGUCGAACGGUAACAGGAAGCAGCUUGCUGCUUUGCUGACGAGUGGCGGACGGGNNNNNNNNNNNNNNNNNNNNGAGUAAUGUCUGGGAAACUGCCUGAUGGAGGGGGAUAACUACUGGAAACGGUGGCUAAUACCGCAUAACGUCGCAAGACCAAAGAGGGGGACCUUCGGGCCUCUUGCCAUCAGAUGUGCCCAGAUGGGAUUAGCUUGUUGGUGAGGUAACGGCUCACCAAGGCGACGAUCCCUAGCUGGUCUGAGAGGAUGACCAGCCACACUGGAACUGAGACACGGUCCAGACUCCUACGGGAGGCAGCAGUGGGGAAUAUUGCACAAUGGGCGCAAGCCUGAUGCAGCCAUGCCGCGUGUAUGAAGAAGGCCUUCGGGUUGUAAAGUACUUUCAGCGGGGAGGAAGGUGUUGUGGUUAAUAACCGCAGCAAUUGACGUUACCCGCAGAAGAAGCACCGGCUAACUCCGUGCCAGCAGCCGCGGUAAUACGGAGGGUGCAAGCGUUAAUCGGAAUUACUGGGCGUAAAGCGCACGCAGGCGGUCUGUCAAGUCGGAUGUGAAAUCCCCGGGCUCAACCUGGGAACUGCAUUCGAAACUGGCAGGCUUGAGUCUUGUAGAGGGGGGUAGAAUUCCAGGUGUAGCGGUGAAAUGCGUAGAGAUCUGGAGGAAUACCGGUGGCGAAGGCGGCCCCCUGGACAAAGACUGACGCUCAGGUGCGAAAGCGUGGGGAGCAAACAGGAUUAGAUACCCUGGUAGUCCACGCCGUAAACGAUGUCUACUUGGAGGUUGUGCCCUUGAGGCGUGGCUUCCGGAGCUAACGCGUUAAGUAGACCGCCUGGGGAGUACGGCCGCAAGGUUAAAACUCAAAUGAAUUGACGGGGGCCCGCACAAGCGGUGGAGCAUGUGGUUUAAUUCGAUGCAACGCGAAGAACCUUACCUGGUCUUGACAUCCACGGAAGUUUUCAGAGAUGAGAAUGUGCCUUCGGGAACCGUGAGACAGGUGCUGCAUGGCUGUCGUCAGCUCGUGUUGUGAAAUGUUGGGUUAAGUCCCGCAACGAGCGCAACCCUUAUCCUUUGUUGCCAGCGGUCCGGCCGGGAACUCAAAGGAGACUGCCAGUGAUAAACUGGAGGAAGGUGGGGAUGACGUCAAGUCAUCAUGGCCCUUACGACCAGGGCUACACACGUGCUACAAUGGCGCAUACAAAGAGAAGCGACCUCGCGAGAGCAAGCGGACCUCAUAAAGUGCGUCGUAGUCCGGAUUGGAGUCUGCAACUCGACUCCAUGAAGUCGGAAUCGCUAGUAAUCGUGGAUCAGAAUGCCACGGUGAAUACGUUCCCGGGCCUUGUACACACCGCCCGUCACACCAUGGGAGUGGGUUGCAAAAGAAGUAGGUAGCUUAACCUUCGGGAGGGCGCUUACCACUUUGUGAUUCAUGACUGGGGUGAAGUCGUAACAAGGUAACCGUAGGGGAACCUGCGGUUGGAUCACCUCCUUACCUUAAAGAANNNNNNNNNNNNNNNNNNNNUGCAGUGCUCACACAGAUUGUCUGAUGAAAA
rnacentral:rRNA from 1 species